AACAUUUAUGGAGCGAGAUGCUCAAUAUGUGUUAUGGAGCGGUAUUGUUCCUUUGAGUAGUCAUGAUCCAAAAGUUAUUGAGGUUAAGUUUUGGAAAUUCCUAAUUCGAAGUACCGAGCAGGAAGUUAUGUUCAUUUUAAGUUCAGUUUUUUGCUGAAUUAUUUUGACAAAAGUUCCAAAUGUUCAAGUUAACUCAACCCUUUUGGUAAAUUUUAAAUGAGCACACUAAGUGCCUAUACGGAUUUUACAAGCAGUAAAGAAUUGAUUAUUUCCUUAUAUUUUUACACGUAACUAAUAUGUGAAAUUGUUGACGUAAAACAAAAUAUUUCAAAAGAAGAUUCAAGUCUUGCAAUGAUUAGCAACACAAUAGUAGGUGUGAUUCUUUUUCCUCUCCAUGGAUGAAUAUGUGUUCUUUGGAAACAGUGUGGUAUUGAUAAACUGUGCAUUUAAACUAUUUAUGUAAAUAAACUAUGGAUACAAGUGGGUAAAGGCCGAUACCAAAUAAGGUACGGUAUGAACAACAACCCUUGAGGAUGGGUGAUCUCCUUCCGAACCCUCUGGGUGGGUGAAGUCCAGCAAAUAAUAAAAAUGGGACAUGUCCUGGUUAAGGCUUGCAAGCAUAAAUAUUUAAACGGUGGGGUGACGACCUCCAUUAGCAUAGAGACAGUCGGCUUCUUGUGUAAGGAGCCCCUCUCUAUUCGUGUUCGCUUUACCUAAAUAGAUUAAAUGCUAUAGACCCAAAGGGUUUUGAAUAAUCUAAGUUGUGAUCUUUAUGAUGAAAAUUCUUAUUUUGAUACGAUUGUGCAAAGAUAGUAAUCCUGAAAUUUUUAAGCAAGCACCUUACUUGUGAAGCAUACUAAAUUCUAGCAUGAAUUGUAUACGAAUGGUCUUAAGCCACCAAAAAUGAGGUUUUGGGAUGAGCUUAUGUAUUUCAACUGUUAUUGAACUUUGUCCUUAUGGCAAGGAACUUAUUAUCUGUAGUAUAUGUAUGAGUACUCUUUAUCGGACUUUCUAGUUAAGGGUUGCUAGUGUCGUGAUAAAAACAUUUCUAACUAUUUGAUUUUAAAUUUUUUUUGAAGUCUGGGAUUGUUCCACUUGGUGAGUAAUAAACAGCACAACUAUAUUUUAAGCCACUAAAAUGAAUUUCUGGUUGGACAGUGUGUGUACUCAGUUUUUCUGAUUCUGUUCUUCGAAACUGUCGUGGUGGGGGCAAGUGUCAUUGUUAGUGAUUUUGCAGGGUUGAUGUCGAGGUCUUGGAAUAUGAUUAUUGAUCAAGAAGAAGAUUUUUAUGUUAUGAAAUGGUGGGCUGAGGUUAAAGUUAGAUGCUUUGUUUCAAAGUAUUCGUAAUCUGUUAUUUGAUUUUCAAGUUGUUAUAUUGUGGGCCCCUGACCCACAGAUCCAAGAUCGUUUUUAUAGGUUUUAUUUCCGUUGUGAAUAAAUGUAAAUUCGAGGUUUGUUAAGUGUUGAUUGUAUUUUGUGUAUCUUAAGUGUGAUUAGUUAGAAGCUCGGAAGUGCGGGCUGUUAUAGGUGUGAAUAAAUGUAAAUUUGAGGUUUGUUAAGUGUUGAUUGUGUUUUGUGUAUCUUAAUUGUGAUUAGUUAGCAGCUCGGAAGUGUGGGCUGUUACAAAUACUUUGAUUAAAAAGACAUUGGUCGAAUUUGAAAUUACAUGUGUAACAGUGUAAACAAGGCCGGUUUUGGGCCUGUGCAAGCUGCCCAAUUGCACAUGGCCUCGAAAUUUUAGGGGCCCCAAAAGAAAACACUCUUCGUCUUCCCUUUCUCCCGUCAGAUAUGCUUUUUCAUUUUUCAACCUUCCAUUAAUGACCAAAUUUAACUCAAUUCUCCAGAUUCUUCUCCUCUAAUUGCAAAUUUCCAUAGAAGUUGAGAUUUUCUAUAUUCUAUUAUGGUGCAACUCUCAUUAAUUUUCUUACUUUACCAAAGUUUCCUUUUAACACUUUCAAUCUUUCCCCUUUCUCUCUCAAUCAAGCCAAGAAUUACAGUCAAUGGAAAGAUUAAAUCACAAAUUUUUUCUGUCAAACGGCUAAAUUUUAUAGCCUCUAUGUAUAUCCAUCCCAUCUCUAUAAUUUCUCAAACCAUUAUACGAAUCAGAAUUUCAGUUGGAAAAAAAAAUUCAGAUUCAUAUAUAAAUAUCAUCUGAUUCAUAUGAAGUACUCUCCAAGUCUCCAGUUUUGCAUACUCCAAUCUGCGAAAUUUCAAGACUCCAAUUGCAUCACCAGAUUAUUUGCAGAAAACCCCAGAUUUUUUUUUUGGCAAUUCAAAAUUUUUAUUGACUACCAAAAAAAUUGGUGAUGAGUACAAGCUAAACUCCACAAACUUCCACACUUAACUACACAAGACUAACCAUAUCAGUAGCUCCUAUCCUACUGAACUAAUAACCUCCUCUCUGAUUCAUUACAAUUGCAAGCAACUUGGAAAAUAACUCGAUUGAUCAAGGCUGCAGGUGAACAAGAAGCAUUCUCAAAAAUUACACUAUUUCUUUGACACCAAAUAGUGUGCAUUGCUUCGGAGAACAUCAUCACAUAGACUCUUGAUUUCAAGCUCUUACUAUGAGCUUUUGAACAGGCAAUUCUGCUUUCAACAUCAAAGGAGCCAGCAGUUCUAUUGACCCCCAUCUUCUGUAGCAGACCAUUCCACACUUCAGUAGAAAAUCUGCAUUCAAAAAAGAGAUGCUGGAUUGACUCAUUCUGUGUAUCACACAACCUACAUUGCAAUUGAACAGCUAACCACACAAUGAACUUGCUCUUUGGACUGGCUCUAUUAUUGCAUAUAAUUCUUCUCCAUUGCACUUUCUCCAUCUCCCCUUGAAUGAGCUUGUAAGCUUUUUUUAUACUGAACUUCCCAUGAAGCAACAAAUCUUCCCAGGUCCCCAACUGCACCCUCAGCUCUCUCAACUUUAAGAUUUUCUUCAGAUGCCAGGACAUGUUGUUUGUUACUCCAACAGUAGACACAUCAUGUCUUCUAAGAUAAUAGGCAGCUAUCCACUUAACCCACAGCUUGUCAGUUUUGAAAGUAAUAGCCCAAAGAAGCUUCAACAUUACAGCCUUGUUCCAGUUCUCCAUAUUGAUUAAACUCCACCCACCUGAAACUUUAGGGUUGUAAAAAUUCUGCCAAGCCACAGGUGCUUUUCUGGAAUCUAGUGUUAAUCCAGUCCACAAAAACUUCCUACAGAUUGCUUCCACUGCUUUUAUAACCUUUUUUUGCAAAGGAAAAAUAUGGGCCCAAUAAUUCUGCAUGCUACUUAGAAUGCUUCUCACCAAUUGCAAUCUACCAGCAUAACUAAGGUGCUUUGUCAUCCAAGAUUGAGCUCUGCAAGUAAUUUUCUCCACCAGCACUUUACAUUGAGAGAUUGUGAGCUUUUUGGAGUUAAGAGGAACCCCAAGGUAUUUAAAAGGUAGCCUCCCAAUAGGCAUACUAAUAGCAUGAGCAAGCAUCUGAGCAUCAUCUUCAUUCACACCAGCAACAUAUAUAUUGCUUUUCUCCACACUGGCUACUAACCCUGAGGCCUUAGAGAACUUCUCAAAAGCAUUCAUUAUUUUAACUACUGAACUUAUAUCAGCCCUUGCAAACAUCAGUAAAUCAUCUGCAAACAUAAGAUGAUUAAGAGAGAUUCUCUCACAUUUGGGGUGAUAAUUGAAGUCAGGAUCAUCCUUAAGCUCUUUCAAACACCUACUGAGGUAUUCCAUACUGAGUGCAAAAAGAAAAGGAGACAAAGGGUCUCCUUGUCUUAGACCCUUUUUAGCAUCAAAAGGAAUAGUAGGAAUACCAUUUAUGGCAAUGGAAUAAGAUACUGUUCUGACACAACCCAUUAUCCAUCCCACAAACACUGUAGGAAAGCCCAGCUCAAUCAACAUUUUCUCUAAAAAAGGCCAUUCCACAGAGUCAUAAGCCUUUUUUAUAUCCACCUUGAUGACACACCUUGGUGAAAUAUGCUUUCUAGAAUACCCUUUUAGCAGUUCAGUGGCUAAAAGAAUGUUGUCAGCAAUAUGUCUCUCUGGUAUAAAACCAGAUUGAGCUUCAUUCACCACCUCCUGCAUCACAGCUUGCAUCCUAUGAGUGAUAAUCUUUUAGAUUAUUUUAUAGAGGGUGGGCAACAGGCUAUUGGCCUGAAAUCCUUAGCAUACAUAGCUGAGGUUACUUUAGGGACCAGUGUAAUAACAGUGUUAUUAACUGGUUUGUGAAGAUAAGCUUGAUCAAAGACUCCAGAACACCUCUGUAAACAUCAUGCUUGAUUAUGUGCCAUCUUUUUUUAAAGAACAACCCAUUAAACCCAUCAAUUCCUGGGGUCUUGUUGUCAUCAAUCUGAUACAAGGCUCUAUCAAUUUCCUCUGUAGUGACUGGUUUUAUAAGAGUUGCCCUGGUUUCUAAAGAUAACACUGGGCCAGCUCUAAUAGUGUUUAAAUCUAGACCAGUCAAGGAUGUAGCACAAUCACCCAGCAACUUCUUAUAGAAGCUGAUAAUUUCUUCUUGAAUUACCCCAGUGGAAGUGAGGCAAUCUCCCUGACAGUUUUUAAGCAUUCCAAUUCUAUUCCUUGCUUGUCUUACUUUAACUGCAGUGAAGAAAAUUUUUGUAUUUGCAUCCCCCUUUGCAAGCCAGUUUAUUCUUGACUUUUGUCUGAUGAUACUUUCCUCCACUCUUGACUAGUGUCUAAGAGAAUUGACCAACUCCCUUUCUUCAUUCGGUAACUGAGUGUCUGUAUGAAUUGCCAUGUUGUUCUGAAUAUUUUGAAGAUUAACUCUAAUACUCUCCACUUUAUUAGUCUACAACCCCUUCAAAGCUCUCUUCACAGCUUGAAGUCUUUUCCACACUCUCUUCAUAUGAUACCUAUCAUCCACUGAUCUCCAAGCUUAUGUCACUACCUCAUUAAAUUUUGCAUCUUCAGCCAGAAUAUUGAGGAAUUUAAAAGGUCUACCCCUCUCCCUAACUGUAUUUUGAAACGUUACCACCAAAGGAGUAUGGUCAGACACACCACUUGGAAGAUACUUCACCAUAAGCUCAGGAAAAGCUUCUAGCAUACUGCUAUUUAUCACAGCUUUAUCAAUCCUACUACAGAUUCUUGCACUUCCCAGAUUUUUGUUGUUCCAAGAGUAGAAAACUCCACAAUAAGCAGCUUCAAUCAUGUGGGAGGCUAGCAUGAACUCAGCAAAGUCCUGAGUUUCUUGUUCACUUACCUCCACCCCAUUUAUUCUAUCCUGAGCACUCCAAACAACAUUAAAGUCUCCAAUGCAAAGCAUAGGAUCAUUUAUAGUACUAGCCAAUCUUUUAAGGUCUACCCAAAGAGGUUUCCUAUCAGCAAUGGUGUGAAGUCCAUACACUACAACCAAUGUGUAGUUGCUAGUAUAAUUAUGAACUUUAAGAGCCAUGCAUUGUUCAGCUUUAUAUAUGACAUCCACUGUAAUGUCUCCUGUUUCCACCCAAACCAAAUCCUCCCUCUGCGAGGAACCAUAGUUAUCAAUCCAACUCCAGCUAUCCCCAAAUUUCUUUUGAAUCUUACUACAAUUACUAGCUCUAACUCUAGUCUCAAACAAAGCACAACAAGUAGCAUGAUUAAGAUGAAGAGUCUGCUUUACCUCCUUUAUUUUGAGGGGAUCAUUGAGGCCCCUCACAUUCCAAGACAUCAACUCCAUUCAGGAUAGAUAGGGGUUUGGUCCCCUAGCACCCCCAGCUUUUGCUGAGUCCAGUUGAGAGAAGUUAACAGUUCCAUUUUUAUGAAGGUAACAUGUUUACCCUUGGACUUCCUGGUUACAAUUUUCCAUGGUUCUUCUUCUUCAGUCAUUUUGGCACAUGUUCAGGAGUAACUGCAGGAGUAUUCACCAUAUCAGUCUCUACAACUAUAGCAGGACCCCCACCUAAGCAGGCCUCAACUACCAUAGAAGGAGCCACAAUAUGUGAGAUGUCUCCAUUAGUCUCCUCUAAUUCAUCAACAGUUAUCUGAGCUUCUUCAGUGAUCUGUUCCUUUGAAAUUACAGUUUCUAUCUUCUUUUUGGGAACCCAUUUCUUCACCCACUUUGCUGGAGCUUUAGUAUUGGCCUCACAGUUGUGACCAAUUACUUGACAUUUUUUACAAAACUCAGGCAACCAAUCAUAGACCACUUUUUGUUUAAAUACAGCUCCAGUAGGAUCUUCUAUUGCUAUCUCAUAUAAGAUUUCUUUAGUGACAUCUAUUUCCACUAGUAUUCGAGCAAAAGAAAUUCUUAAGGUCUUUGUUGUACAUUCAUCUGCAUACACUGGGACCCCUAGUAAGCUUCCAAUUCGACUCAAUGAAUUCUCACUCCAACAGUUCAAUGGAAGAUUAGGUAAUCUAUCCAAAUAGGCACAACUUUUAGAAUCUCAUUAUGGAAAUCAAACGUAGCUGUCCAUUUCUUCACAAUCAUUGGUUUACCAAAAAACAAGUGUGGCCCAGCAUACACAACAGAAUUCCUUUCUUCCUUCGAUUUCAUUUUCACCACAAAAUAUCCUUCAUCAUGUUUAUAUACUCCAGGUUCAGUUUUAAGCCCCCAUUGAACUUUAUUAAAACCUAACAUGGCAGUCAUGGUUGGAUUUUGCCCAACAACAUACACAAUGAUGGCAUUUUCCCAAGUAGUAUUCAUUCUAUCAAUUUCAUUUUUAUCUAACUUAGCAGUAGGAUUACCUUCCACUAUAGUAGGCACAACAAACAUAAGACCCAUACCUUUAUCAGAGAUUCUAUUUUGUCCCGUGAAAGUCUGCCAUUUUUGAGUUGCCUCCUCCACAUGCUCCGAGCUAGAUCGAAUCAACCCACUACUUAUCGGGUGUGGAGUAACAGUUACUGUUCCAUCAGAUAUCUCUGUAUUUACCUCCUCUCUGACUAUACUAGCACUACCACUAGCCUCCUGAGAAGAUCCCGACGCCAUAACGGUGGUUUCCGGCCCCGCCGUCUUUUUCUUCCGCCCCAUUUCGCCUUUUCAGGCGCACAAUAGCUAAACCCUUAUCGUGCGCUAGGAGAGGGUUUUAGGAGAGAAAAAUUCCUGAUGGUAAUUGAUUAUUAAAAAAAAAACCCCAGAUUUUUGUUUGAAACUGUUCCAUAAUUUAGAGGUAGACUUCACUCUUUCGCAUGUAGUUUUCUGUUCUUGUUGUUCGUUAAUGUGUAUUUUUUUUCCAGCUUGAUUAAGCAUGGUAUAAUUUCUUUUAUGAUUAGUUGAGCAAGUUUCUGAAUGGGUGGCCAAUUUGUAUUAUAAAUGCAUUUAGUUUUUCCAUAGUUAUCAAAUUUUUAAAGAUAAUUAUUUUUAGGAAGUGUUGAUGGAUGAGUAGUGAAACUGUUAGAUAUUUUGACUUUUGUUUGUUGUUUUUUUGUUUGCCAAAUAUAAAUGGGAAUGGGAAUAUGAAAUUAGAAUGCUCCUGUUAACUUACACACAUAGUUUUGCAAUAACAAUUCAUUUUUCUAUGCAAUCAUAAUAAAAAAAAAUUGAUUAUUGCACAUUUUUUGUAUUAGGCCUCAUUUUAAAGACUGAACAGGGCCCCAAAAAUGUUUAAGACGGCCCUGAGUGUAAACAUAGAGAAAGAUAGGAUGUAAUGCUCGAAUUUGAUGGUUUAUUUGUGCAAUUUCAACUGUUGUGAGGAAUUUGUCUUGAAUUAGAAGAUCUUUACAAUUACUUAGACUCAUUGUCUUAGGUUGUUUGGGAGAUGACAUCUUUUGUGAAAAUGUAGCUUGUAUGUUGAAUUUUGUUCAAGUUUACAUGCUGAUUUUUUUUUUUUGUUUUCCAUAGUAGUGUUGUUUGUAAAUUGUAAUUAUGGAUGAACAAUUGUCGUUUAAAGAGAGUGAUGCUGGUUCUAGUCACCCUAAUGAAGAACCAUUUGUUGUGUUGGGUGAUUCUGAUAAAGAGGAUGAUGUGGAAGGAUUUGUUGAGGUUGGGGUUGAUAUUAGCAAAGAAGAAUUAUCUGGUGGUGGUAAGAAAUGUAAGAAAUUGACUUCUACAUUUUGGGAAACUUUUGAUGUGGUUAUAGUCAAUGUUGUUAAAAAGGCAAAGUGUAUGGAUUGUAAUAGCUUACUCUCAUACUCGGGAGCUAAUGGAACUUCACACCUCAACAAACAUGCUAGAAAACAUUGUUCGGGAAGGCAUUUGAGGCUUGGUAGUGGUCAAUCACAAUUAAAGUUCAAGAAAGAAGAUGACGGGAACACUUCUUUGUCACUUAAGGAAAAAACAAAGAAAGUAUCAUUUGAUCAAGAUGUUUCAAGGCGAGAGUUGGUUAAGAUGGUAGUAGUACAUGAGUAUCAUUUGUCAAUUGUAGAUCACAUUGGUUUUGGGAGUUUUAUCAAGAGUUUGAAUGAUGAUUUUAAGAUGAUUUCAAGGAAUACAUUGAAAUGUGAUGUGGUGAAGAUGUUCAACAAUGAGAGAGGUUCUCUUAAGGUUUUGCUAGUUGCUAAUGAGGGUAGAGUGACGAUAACAACUGAUAUGUGGAUCGCCUCCAACCAAAAAAAGGGGUAUAUGGUCGUGACAUCCCACUUCAUUGAUGAUAAGUGGAUUUUGCAUAAUCGAACAAUAAGGUAAUUUCGCUUAUUUCAUUUAUAAUUCUAACAUGUUUUUGUUAUUUACUUAUGUUCUAACUUGUGGUUAUUUGCCUAUUUGCGUUUAUAAUGGUUAACAUGUUGGUAUUUUGGUCUUUUUUAUGUUCUAAAUCUUGCUUUUAUCAUGGUUAAAUAGGUUUUGUUAUGUUCCAAGUCCGCAUACAAAUGGGGUCAUUGCUAAGAUUCUUAUGGUUAAAUAUGUUUUGUCAUGUUUCAAGUCCGCAUAUAAGUGGGGUCAUUGCUAAGAUUCUUAUGGAAACUUUGCCUCAAUAUUCUUUGAAAAAUAAAAUUUCUUCUGUGGUUGUUGAUAAUUGUAGCAUAAAUGAUUCAAUGAUAAAUGUGUUGUUGGAUAAAUUGGAGAGUAAAUGUUUGGUGUUAAAUGGAGAAUUUUUGCAUAUGAGAUGUAGUGCUCAUAUGCUUAAAUUGAUUGUGAAAGAUGGUUUACAAGUAAUUGAUCAUGCUAUUGCCAAAGUAAGAGAGUGCAUUGCGUUUUGGAUGUCCACUCCUAAAAGAAUUGAAAAUUUUGAGGAUGCAUGUCGUCUUUUGAAUGUGAGUAAAACAAAAAGGAUUGGUCUUGAUGUGAAAACUAGGUAGAAUUCUACUUUCUUGAUGCUUGAAUCUAGUUUGCCUUUCAAAGAUGUUUUUAAUAAAUUAAAACGUCUAAUAAAAGGCUUAAGUUUUCCGUUCCUAGUGAUCGUGAUUGGAAUAUGGCUACUAUUGUUUGUCAAAAGUUAGAAAUAUUCUACAAAGCCACUAAAGUUUUCUCCAAUAGAAAUCAUGUUACUGCAAAUUUGUUUUUUCGAACAAUUUGUGAGAUAAAGCUUGCUUUGAGGCGGUGGGUGCAAGAUGAUAGUAAUGAGGUCAUUAAGACAAUGGCUAUGAGUAUGGUUGAUAAGUUUGACAAAUAUUGGUAUGAGAUUAAUGGGAUUUUGGCUUUUGCGACUAUUCUAAAUCCUAGAAACAAAAUGGAUUGUGUGGCGCAUUAUUUUGAGAAAUUAUAAGGAGAUGAAGCCAAUAGUGAAAUGGCAAGAGUGAGAAGGACCCUUGAUAAACUUGUUCAUGAGUUUGAAAGUAAGAAUGAUGUAGGGAAUGAACAAUCAUCACCAUUAAAGAGAGGGUUUAAUGAGUGUGGGGAUGAAGAUGAUUUUGCUAGAUCUAAGAGACAAAAGGCUAGAACACCACCAUUAAGGGAUGAGGUUAAUAACUACUUGGAGAGUGCUACAAUGCCGGAGCGAGGAUAAUGAAUUUAAUGUUCUUAAUUGGUGGAGGAGAGACACAAAUUAUCCAACUUUGAGAAAAAUUGCUAAGGACAUUCUUGCUAUUCCCGUGUCUUUGGUUGCUUUGGAGAGUGCUUUUAGCAUGGGUGGAAGAGUGAUUAGUACUCAUCGUUCUAGGCUUCAUUCUCAAACCGUGAAGGCUUUGAUGUGCUUGCAAAGUUGGUUGAUUGAUGAUGUGAAAGGUACACUUGAUGGAAAGAAUUUGUCAUACACAAUUAAUGAAGAUUGUGAUUAUGGUAAUGAAGCUCAAGAU